ACAGCAGUAGCCGCGGGAAUACAGAGGGUGCGAGCGUUAAUCGGAUUUACUGGGCGUAAAGCGUGCGUAGGCGGCUUCUUAAGUCGGAUGUGAAAUCCCUGAGCUUAACUUAGGAAUUGCAUUCGAUACUGGGAAGCUAGAGUAUGGGAGAGGAUGGUAGAAUUCCAGGUGUAGCGGUGAAAUGCGUAGAGAUCUGGAGGAAUACCGAUGGCGAAGGCAGCCAUCUGGCCUAAUACUGACGCUGAGGUACGAAAGCAUGGGGAGCAAACAGGAUUAGAUACCCAAGUAGUCCCUGUCUCUUAUAA
rnacentral:rRNA from 1 species